rnacentral:rRNA from 1 species
CGGCCUGAGAGGGCGACCGGCCACAUGGGAACUGAGAUACGGCCCAGACUCGAACGGAAGGCAGCAGUGGGGAAAAUGCACAAGGGGCGCAAGCGUGAUGCAGCGACGCCGCGUGAGGGAUGGAGGCCUUCGGGUUGUAAACCUCUUUAUACGGGGAGCAAGCGAGAGUGAGUUUACCCGUUGAAUAAGCACCGGCNAACUACGUGCCAGCAGCCGCGGUAAUACGUAGGGUGCAAGCGUUAUCCGGAAUUAUUGGGCGUAAAGGGCUCGUAGGCGGUUCGUCGCGUCCGGUGUGAAAGUCCAUCGCUUAACGGUGGAUCCGCGCCGGGUACGGGCGGGCUUGAGUGCGGUAGGGGAGACUGGAAUUCCCGGUGUAACGGUGGAAUGUGUAGAUAUCGGGAAGAACACCAAUGGCGAAGGCAGGUCUCUGGGCCGUUACUGACGCUGAGGAGCGAAAGCGUGGGGAGCGAACAGGAUUAGAUACCCUGGUAGUCCACGCCGUAAACGGUGGAUGCUGGAUGUGGGGCCCGUUCCACGGGUUCCGUGUCGGAGCUAACGCGUUAAGCAUCCCGCCUGGGGAGUACGGCCGCAAGGCUAAAACUCAAAGAAAUUGACGGGGGCCCGCACAAGCGGCGGAGCAUGCGGAUUAAUUCGAUGCAACGCGAAGAACCUUACCUGGGCUUGACAUGUUCCCGACGGUCGUAGAGAUACGGCUUCCCUUCGGGGCGGGUUCACAGGUGGUGCAUGGUCGUCGUCAGCUCGUGUCGUGAGAUGUUGGGUUAAGUCCCGCAACGAGCGCAACCCUCGCCCCGUGUUGCCAGCGGAUUAUGCCGGGAACUCACGGGGGACCGCCGGGGUUAACUCGGAGGAAGGUGGGGAUGACGUCAGAUCAUCAUGCCCCUUACGUCCAGGGCUUCACGCAUGCUACAAUGGCCGGUACAACGGGAUGCGACGCGGCGACGCGGACGAUUCACCCGGGAAGAUCUGCUACGACGCGCGCCUCUNNNGGUUUCUUUUUUGCGAAAAAAAAA